rnacentral:rRNA from 1 species
GACGAACGCUGGCGGCAGGCUUAACACAUGCAAGUCGAACGCCCCGCAAGGGGAGUAGCAGACGGGUGAGUAACGCGUGGGAAUCUACCCAUCCCUACGGAACAACUCCGGGAAACUGGAGCUAAUACCGUAUACGCCCUACGGGGGAAAGAUUUAUCGGGGAUGGAUGAGCCCGCGUUGGAUUAGCUAGUUGGUGGGGUAAAGGCCUACCAAGGCGACGAUCCAUAGCUGGUCUGAGAGGAUGAUCAGCCACAUUGGGACUGAGACACGGCCCAAACUCCUACGGGAGGCAGCAGUGGGGAAUAUUGGACAAUGGGCGCAAGCCUGAUCCAGCCAUGCCGCGCGAGUGAUGAAGGUCUUAGGAUUGUAAAGCUCUUUCACCGAUGAAGAUAAUGACGGUAGUCGGAGAAGAAGCCCCGGCUAACUUCGUGCCAGCCGCCGCGGUAA